rnacentral:rRNA from 1 species
UACGUAGGGGGCUAGCGUUGUCCGGAUUUAUUGGGCGUAAAGAGCGUGUAGGCGGCCAUGUAGGUCCGGUGUGAAAACUCGAGGCUUAACCUCGAGAUGUCAUCGGAAACCAUUUGGCUAGAGUCCGGAAGAGGAGAGUGGAAUUCCUGGUGUAGCGGUGAAAUGCGCAGAUAUCAGGAAGAACACCAAUGGCGAAAGCAGCUCUCUGGGACGGUACUGACGCUGAGGAGCGAAAGCAUGGGGAGCGAACAGG